GGAGUUUCAAGUUUCGAACAGAGAAGAAGUUUCCGUGGCCGUCGCACUGAAAUCUCCUCCUCGCCAGACUUCCAGGAGCCUCAUCCCCCGGCCCCCUGCAGGCCACCUGCUCACCUGGGAAGCUCCACGUCCUUAUCUCUUCCUCCUCCAUCCAUGGCUCCUUCCCCUGCUCCAAACUGGAGAUCACAGCUGGUUUGCUGACUUGACACCCUCUUGGGGAGAAACGGUUAAAGGAUUUGUGCUGAGCCAGCUGGGCCUUCCAAGCAAGCAGACAGUUCAGCCUGCAAAACAAAAGGUGGACAUCUCAGCCACAGAGAGCUGUUUCGCUUGGCAGAUCGGGUCUUGCACCUGUGGCUCAAGCAAUCCUCCCACCUCGGCCUCCUGAAGUGCUGGGAUCACAGGCAUGAGCCACCAUGCCCAGCUUAGCACUUUCAGUGCGUGAGCAGUUUCCCAGUUUUAUACAACUAAGAAAAAGAGUUCAUGUAACCCGAGGACCACGGGGAAGUCUUCCUCACCCACAGAGAGCAGGUGGCUGUAGUUCUCCAGCAUCACAUCCUGGUACAGGGUCCUCUGCUCCAGGUCCAGCUGCUGCCACUCUUUCCGGGUGAAGCCCACAGCCACGUCCCCGAAUGACAGUGACCCCUGGAACAGCACAUGGCUGAUUAAUGUGGAGUGGUUGGCACUGGGUACCAUGGCAAAGGCGUAGAGGAGAUUGAUCUUACCCCCUUCCGAGGUCAGCUUUCCCCAUAUUAGGUUACAUAGAAAGCUGAGCACACCCCUAACUUUGUACUACACUUUGUGGAAGAGAAAAAAAAAAUUGUUAGAAAAAAUAUCAACCGGGUGCAGUGGCUCACGCCUGUAAUCCCAGCACUUUGAGGGGCUGAGACAGGUGGAUUGCUUGAGGUUAGGAGUUUGAGACCAGCGUGGCCAACAUGGUGAAACCCCAUCUCUACAAAAAAUAUAUUAGAUGGACGUGCUGGUGGGUGCCUGUAAUCCCAGCUACCAGGGAGGCUCAGGCAGGAGAAUUGCUUCAACCCAGGAGGCGUAGCUUGCAGUGAGCUGAGAUCCCGCCCUUGCACCCCAGGCUGUACAACAGAGUGAGACUCCAUCUCAAAAAUAAAUAAAUAAAUCUCACUACUGGAUCUCCAUUCAUUCCUUCAAUGAUCAAGUGUCUUUCAGGGACCUCGCACACUGCUGGUGUUCUACCAGGCGCUUGGGGUCGAGGGCUGAACACAAAAUUGUUCCUGUUCUGAAGGUAGUUAGGAGUGUUGCUGCCAGAUGAACACAGGAAGACAGCUGUACCGUAAGAUUACACUAUAGGCGGUGGUAGACAUGUAGUUACAUACAGAAUGGGCACGAGGAAGACAGCAGCCAGAUCCAAC
rnacentral:lncRNA from 1 species